rnacentral:rRNA from 1 species
UCAAAUUUGAAAUCUGGCACCUUCGGUGUCCGAGUUGUAAUUUGAAGAAGGUAACUUUGGAGUCAGCUCUUGUCUAUGUUCCUUGGAACAGGACGUCACAGAGGGUGAGAAUCCCGUGCGAUGAGAUGUCUGAUUCUAUGUAAAGUGCUUUCGAAGAGUCGAGUUGUUUGGGAAUGCAGCUCUAAGUGGGUGGUAAAUUCCAUCUAAAGCUAAAUAUUGGCGAGAGACCGAUAGCGAACAAGUACAGUGAUGGAAAGAUGAAAAGAACUUUGAAAAGAGAGUGAAAAAGUACGUGAAAUUGUUGAAAGGGAAGGGUUUGAGAUCAGACUUGGUAUUUUGUAUGUCUUGCUUUCGGGUGGGGCCUCUACAGUUUACUGGGCCAGCAUCGGUUUGGACGGUAGGAUAAUGACAUUGGAAUGUGGCACCACUUCGGUGGUGUGUUAUAGACUUUGUUGAUACUGCCUGUCUAGACCGAGGACUGCGUCUUUGACUAGGAUGCUGGCAUAAUGAUCUUAAACCG